ensembl:lncRNA
GACAAGCUGUCUCAAGGGUGUCCAGUGGGUGGGAUCACCGAUUUCCAAAUGACGAGGAGAAAACACGUGGUACCGUACCACCUGGGUACCGAACCAAGAGCAGCCUCCUCCCAAUCCGUAGCAAACAGAAAACUCAGCAACAAGCAAACACGGAACACGCAAAGGGCCAAAACGGAACCGGUAUAUUGGCGAAAUUAAAAUCAAAGUUCUUCACAACAGCGAUAUGGAUUUCUUAAAACACUUUCAGUAUUUUGGCGUCGUCUUCGCGACUUCACUGGUAGUAGCAACCGCAGGCCAACAAUUCAACCACGACAAACUUCACUGGUCGUCCACCAACUUUAAAACCCUGCUGACCUGGGAGCCUGAGGCCGGCGACCCGUCCUACGACGUCGAAUACGCUGAAUCCUACGCUGCCAGAUUGAAGAAAACAAUAUCCACUGAUUGGUGGGGCACUUCUGACUACUUCACCCC